rnacentral:lncRNA from 1 species
UAACAGUGGUAAUGGGAGUUUUAAUUUGUAUUCUGGAGAGUGCAGAGAAAAACAGUAUUUAAUGCUUUUCUGACAGUCCUAUCCACAAUGCACUUAUUCCUUUUUGCAGCAAUUUCCUUCUGUACUUCAUUUUGCUUUGGAGGCUUGAGACAAACUCUGCAGGAGUAGAGGAUGAGGGGAGCCCCAGGAAUGAACACCGUUAACACGACUCUGCUACAAGUGGCCAUUCAAGCCAAGCCUUUCAGCUACAACAUGAGGCUCACAGAGGUGCUCUGAAGGACUUUCUGCAUUUCUUUAUACAGAGGGUUCAGCCUCCACCAGCAUCCAUGCUGAGUGCUGCCUCUCUCCUCCUGAACCAUCGCUUUGCUUUCUGGGAGCGCGCCGAGCACUGUUCUCUUUGCUCUCCACAUGGGCUCCAGCUGCUCUGCCCUGAAGGCUUCUCG